GAAAUAAUGUGGUGCUGAGGUUGAAUGGACCACAGCCAACUCCCUCUGCCUGGGAAGUGAAGAGGAAGAAUGAAUUGUUUUCUAGAGGAGAUGGUGCUGGUUGGAAAGAAAAUGUCCAAAGAGAUCGGUGGAUGUGGAGACUUGGUCUGGCACUUGUGAGCAACAGUGUCCUUCACCAAGGCAGAGAUGUAAAAGACUAUCAAAGAAAGACAGAGUUGAAAGACCAGUUCUUCAGGAAAUCACACGGUGGUGUCAUGUGGAGGGGAUUAGAGGCACAAGAAAGAGUGGCAGAGAGAAACUGGGGGCAUGAAUUGUGAUUGGUGAUGGGACAAUGACAGUUUCUCCUCUGCAAUGUCCCUCUGUCAUGCCACUCUGCCUUGGAGCCAGUCAAUGUUGGACUGAAAUCUCUACAAACUAAGGCAUGACUGGGUUGGAACUCAAAACUUCCAUCAAGAAAAUCAAGAUUGUGGAAGAAGAGGACAAUGAUGAUCUGAAAUGACACUGUGGUGAUGGCACUGUCCAGAAGAAAGCCUGUCAUGGGGAACCUAAACUCAUACACUGGCAGUGACAUGGCUUCCUGAGAAUAGUCCGUACUACUCCAAGUAUUAGCUUUUGAUAUUAACAUUCACUUUAAUUUAAAUGUUACAAGUCUUGUUUAUCAUCAUGGUUAUAAAUAAGGACUAAAGAAUAUGAAGAUAGCAGGCUUGUGUAUGUCACCAGGUCACAAGCUCCAAACAAUCCAUCCAAAUUAUCAUACAUCUCUACCUAUUUAGAGACAAAGUUUUGAAGAAACUUAAAGGACCAAGAUCAGAAUUGCCUGACUAAAGUAAGGAUUUCUCUCUCAUCUAUCUAUAUAACGAAAAAUCUCUAUACAGUAUGCCAUCCAACCUUCAAUUCCAUAGAUACAAAUAACAUUUCCUAGGAUUAAUUAAAAAGAUUCUUACAAGACACUUAAGGUAAAUGAUGUUUUACAAAAACCACAGGAAAAAAGUGUAAUUACCAAAGCCAUUCUAGAUGUACUUUGUAACUCAAAAUGAGACAUAUGUUAUAGUAGAUCAAGUAAUCAUCCAUGCAUGCCAAAGGGGAAAAGGCAUGUGGAAAACUACACAAAUGUUUCAGAUGAGUUUUCCUAGAAGCUGAGACCAAGAUGAUAAUUCUUGAACAAGUGUUUUACUCAGAAGAAAUCUAUAAGGAAGGGAGGAAAGCAAGAAUAAUGCAGUAAUAAUGCAGCAAUAAUGUGGUUUCAGUUGAAAACUCACAUUAACUUGGCCUACGGGAGCUCAGAAGUUGAACAGUGUCACAAAGAUAUCCAGCCUUGAAGAAAAGGGGACGAGCUUUUGUAUCCCAAUGUCAUUGGCUGUGAAGUGUCCCAACAGCAUUUCUGGUUGAGGAACUCAUGUUGGCUGAAGGAAGUUCUUCAGAGAAACACUCUUCUAUGAGCUGCCCUCAUAGGCACUGGGCAUGGUUCCAUUGACUGGUGAAGAAAAUCAGGACAAGGCACCAAAAGCAUUUAUUACAAGCUAUCCUUUGCACUGUUCAGAAUCACUUUCUCUUCCCUUUAAGAUCAUGGAAUUUGGGCAUGCUUUCUGUAGCAUUCUGAUUCAGAGACAGGAAUCUCCAAGAUCAAGGUACAACAGGGCCCAGCUUAUGAUGAAGACUUGCUUACAAAUGGCUGCCUUCUUUCUGCAACCUCAUAUGAUCUUUCUUCUGAGCACAUAAAGAGAGAAGGGGAGAGAGGAGCAGAGAAGGAGAGACACUCUCUCUCUUUCUAAAGUCGUUCCCAUACUAUUAAAUUGGGACCACCCUUAUGUCCUCACUUAAUCUUACUUAGCCCCUAAAAGCCCUAUCUGUGUAGUCAUAUUGGGGUUUAGGAAUUGGAGGAGUGCAUACUUCUGUCACAGUAAUGAGUGAGGAAGUUCUUGACUACACUACUAGUGAUAAUAAAAGGAAGAAAAAAGGAAAGGAUUUUCUGUGGUGUGUAUUUUCUCUUUUCUUUUCUUUUCAUCUCUUUUCUUUCUGGUAGUAUUAGAGGUUGAACCCAGGGUCUCACACUGAGCUAGCUACAUGCCUGACUCUUUGUUUUUAUUUUUAUUUGAUACAGGUCCUUGCUAAUUUGCUGUUGCCUAGCUUGGGCUCAGACUUGCAAUUCUCCUGACUUAGCCUCUCAGAGUGCUGGGAACACAAGCAUGCACCACCAUACCAAGCUUAGUGUGACUAUUUUACAUUUUAUUUUGUAAGGUUAUGGAGAUUUUGUUAUUCUUGUAAGAUGAGGAAAGACAGUAGUAGGCUGAGGAAAGACAGUAGGGAAAGGGAGAAGUAGAAGACACAGAAGGUAAUUGAUGGGAACAAUUAUA
rnacentral:lncRNA from 1 species